CACCGCCGGACGCCGCCGCCGCGCCUCCGCCAUCGCCGGAACCCCUCUCCUCACCAAAAUUUCCAGAUUUUCUUCUCUUCCUUCCCUCUUUCCAUUUCUCCAACCAAAAUCAAGAAAUUUAGCCAUUCACUCACCCAAAAACCCUAGAACCCGAAGCUAAAAUUGGGGUUUUUGUGAUUUCUUCUUUCCAAGCUCAAAUCAAGGCUACGGGUUUGACAAGGAUUUUUGGUGAAGAAGGCCAAGGAGGAGGAUUUGGCCGUGAGUUUUGAAGAAGAAAGGGUAAGGAAUGGGUUUUGGACAAACCCUAGAAUUUUUGGAAUUUAUUUGGUUGAUUUUGAUUUUAUGGAGCUAUUGUUGUUGUUGGAAAAUUGUGAAAAUUAGGUGUUUGAGGAUGGUUUAAUUAGUAGGAUUGUAUUAGCAUAAUUUUCAAAGUGUUGGAAUUUUUGUGUUGAUUGUUUUGGUGAUUGUUGUUGUGCAUUUUGACCAAAAGAAAAAGAAAAGGAAGAAGAAGAGAAAUUGCUUUAU